CCUACGGGGGGCAGCAGUGGGGAAUAUUGCACAAUGGGGGAAACCCUGAUGCAGCGACGCCGCGUGAGUGAAGAAGUAAUUCGUUAUGUAAAGCUCUAUCAGCAGGGAAGAAAAUGACGGUACCUGAGUAAGAAGCCCCGGCUAACUACGUGCCAGCAGCCGCGGUAAUACGUAGGGGGCAAGCGUUAUCCGGAUUUACUGGGGGUAAAGGGAGCGUAGACGGCAGUGCAAGUCUGGGGUGAAAGUCGUGGGCUAAACCCGUGGACUGCACUGGAAACUGUAGGGCUGGAGUACAGGAGAGGUAGGUGGAAUUCCUAGUGUAGCGGUGAAAUGCGUAGAUAUUAGGAGGAACACCAGUGGCGAAGGCGGCUUACUGGACUGUAACUGACGUUGAGGCUCGAAAGCGUGGGGAGCAAACAGGAUUAGAUACCCUUGUAGUC
rnacentral:rRNA from 1 species